UGAGGAAUAUUGGUCAAUGGGCGCAAGCCUGAACCAGCCAAGUAGCGUGAGGGAAGACUGCCCUAUGGGUUGUAAACCUCUUUUGUGCGGGGAUAAAGUGUGGGACGUGUCCCAUAUUGCAGGUACCGCACGAAUAAGGACCGGCUAAUUCCGUGCCAGCAGCCGCGGUAAUACGGAAGGUCCGGGCGUUAUCCGGAUUUAUUGGGUUUAAAGGGAGCGCAGGCCGUCCUUUAAGCGUGCUGUGAAAUGCCGCGGCUCAACCGUGGCACUGCAGCGCGAACUGGAGGACUUGAGUACGCACGAGGUAGGCGGAAUUCGUGGUGUAGCGGUGAAAUGCUUAGAUAUCACGAAGAACUCCGAUUGCGAAGGCAGCUUACCGGAGCGCAACUGACGCUGAGGCUCGAAAGCGCGGGUAUCGAACAGGAUUAGAUACCCUGGUAGUCCGCGCGGUAAACGAUGGAUGCCCGCCGUUGGGUUUUAGAAUUCAGCGGCCAAGCGAAAGCGUUAAGCAUCCCACCUGGGGAGUACGCCGGCAACGGUGAAACUCAAAGGAAUUGACGGGGGCCCGCACAAGCGGAGGAACAUGUGGUUUAAUUCGAUGAUACGCGAGGAACCUUACCCGGGCUUGAAUUGCAGGAGAACGAUCCAGAGAUGGUGAGGCCCUUCGGGGCUCCUGUGAAGGUGCUGCAUGGUUGUCGUCAGCUCGUGCCGUGAGGUGUCGGCUCAAGUGCCAUAACGAGCGCAACCCCUGUCCAUAGUUGCCAUCAGGUCGUGCUGGGCACUCUGUGGAGACUGCCGCCGUAAGGUGUGAGGAAGGUGGGGAUGACGUCAAAUCAGCACGGCCCUUACGUCCGGGGCUACACACGUGUUACAAUGGGGCAUACAGCGAGUUGGAUGUGCGCAAGUACGUCCGGAUCAAUAAAGUGCCUCUCAGUUCGGACUGGGGUCUGCAACCCGACCCCACGAAGCUGAAUUCGCUAGUAAUCGCGCAUCAGCCAUGGCGCGGUGAAUACGUUCCC
rnacentral:rRNA from 1 species